ensembl:snRNA U6 U6 spliceosomal RNA
AUGCUCACUUUGGUAGCAGAUAUACUAAAAUUGGAAUGAUACAGAAAUUAGCAUCACCCCUGCAAAAAGAUGACAUACAAAUUUGUGAAAUGUUCCAUGUUUUU